UCUUUAAUGGAGAGUUUGAUCCUGGCUCAGGACGAACGCUGGCGGCGUGCCUAAUACAUGCAAGUCGAGCGGGGUUAAUUAGAAGCUUGCUUCUAAUUAACUUAGCGGCGGACGGGUGAGUAACACGUAGGCAACCUGCCCACAAGACAGGGAUAACUACCGGAAACGGUAGCUAAUACCCGAUACAUCCUUUUCCUGCAUGGGAGAAGGAGGAAAGGCGGAGCAAUCUGUCACUUGUGGAUGGGCCUGCGGCGCAUUAGCUAGUUGGUGGGGUAA
rnacentral:rRNA from 1 species